GUGGGUCUUGGCAGCUGGGAUGCAGGCGUGCAUGGACCACAGACCUUUAGGAGAUUAUCUGCUAAUCAUGGCCUGGACAUGAGCACUCAAGAGGUGUUGCCUGAAGAAUGAGAUGCUUUUUUAUGAUGCAGUAAAAGAGAGGAAAUCGCCUUGGCCUCUUGCCUUGUCCUGUGCUAAAUGGGGACACCAGGUACCAGAAAUAUUAAGAUGCUCAAGGUCAUACAUACAACUGGUAAGUAGCAGAGUCAGGAAUCAACUUCAGGCUGGUUUAUGCUUUUAACCACCGCACAUCUGCCUCUCAUCAUUUAUCAUUGUAAAGGUAGGUAUCUUGGUUCUCCCUCCUUCCAACACCAUGCUUCCUCUUAACACAUGUAGGAAGACCCUUUUGCCUUUAUUUCACUCUCUCCCAGGCUCCUUCCCAUGGGAGGGAUGGCUUAUUGGUGGGUGCCAUGGCAAGAAUGUGAAAUUCAUUGGUCCAUCCCCUUACAAUAGAUGGAGGUGAUGGGUGGCUUCCCUCGGUGCUGUUGAGUCUCUGCAAUUGUCAGGCUGAGGAGCUCUGUGAUCCUCCAUUCAAGUGGCUCCAUGAGGAUCUGUCCUGCAGACCCAAGCCCUCCUUCAAUCAGGCCCCAUCUAGACUAGAAAGGCAGGUUUUGACUCUCAUUCUGGUGCUAGUUGUGUUCACCCUCCUUCUUUGCUGAUAGGACCCCCAAUAUUGCAUCUCAACUCCUAGGUCUAUUUCUCAGAAUCUGGAUGGGAAAAGCAGAAACCAGUUAGCUCUGCAAUGCACCAACAACUUCCAUCUCAAGAGUUCAAGCCCCAUUCCUGGGCGACUCCAUGAAGUCUGUCCUUCCGUCAGGUUCCCAUGCCCUAGUAUUCCCCAAAGGCCAAGAGAAAUGUUUUUACCAAUGUGUCCCGCAUGAUCCCUGCUCAGCCAGCCCCUUGCUCAGGGCACUGUCCACUCCUGGGUUCAGUCCAGCUGUUUCUUAACUCCAGCCUCACACUAUACAGAUGCAUUCUCUCCAGAGCCCUUUGCCCCCAAGUCUAGACUUUAGUUCUGACUUAAUUCUUCAACACUUAGUAAGAACAGGCAGAACUAAAUGUUUAGCAGAAUCUUGGUGAGGAAUUGAGAAUAAUCAGAAAACAAAACAUGGAUAAAGGAAAAAGAAAGAAACUUCAACUGAAUACUAGGUAUUAUGGCUCCUAAUAAGCCCCCAUGAGGAAACCCUCUGGUCCCUCUUUCCUUAGACUCCCGUAUCCUUGCCUGUUGCCAUAUUACAGGGGGCCCCCUACCAUGAAGGGCCUCUGGCCAUGUGCUUCUAUUUUGAAAUAUACCUUUCAAAACUUUUUGGGAGCUCAAAGAAAAAGGGGAAAAACUCCCCACCUCCAGUGCCCUCAUCUGUCCUCCCAUCAGUGUCCAAUUCACCCUCUGGCAUGCCUCACCACCCAGGCACCUCAACUGUCCUCCUGAACCAGCAAGGAGAAACAAACAAAGAACACCAAUGUUUUCCGCCAUGCCAGCCAAUUCCCACGCUGGCAGCAGUCCAGCAAAUUGUCUUCUCAGUUGGCAUUUCCCAGGCAAAGCAGUUUAUCUUCUCAUCAUCUCAACCUCACUAUUUGAGAAACAGGAGCUGGGCAUCACUUUUGUAUAACCCAAAAGUCCAUCAAAAGGCUUAUCCAAGACCAAAGCGCAGACUUCCUGCAAAAAUGACUACUCGUGGGAGCAAUGGGAAAGAUUGCUGGUAGAUUUUUUUAAAGGAGUUUGUUUCUGCUACACAUGAUGCCAAGACACCCAAAAAGGGGCUCUCUGCUUUCUGAAGUUAUCAUUUUCCUCAUUUUGCAGAAGAGGAAUCCAAGGUUUAGACAAUUUAAACAAUGUAUCCAUGAUAUCCUUGCCAAUAACUGUUGAAGUAGCUAAUAGACACAAAAUCAGUCAGAAUUCUCACCACCAAACUCUGCUUGGAAGAGACAAAUCACAAGUUGCAGACUUGAUGAGAGCCUGGAUGAGUCCUGUCCCCUCAGGAGAGUACGGAGUGGAAGAGGUGGUGUCUGAGGGCUGUCUGAUGGGGUGGCCUCCAGGACUGUGAUUCUGUGCCUGUAGUGGAGUGUGUCCCUUUCACUCCUUGAAGACAAAGCCCUUCCAUACCAAGAUGUCCAUAGUCUGCAGUUAUUCACCUGACUCAGGUGAAUUCUGUCCUGUUAUUGGAGUCAAAGAUGAAGGGCCGAUGAUCUCAAGUUCAUCAUUUUGAAUUCAGAACCCAUCUUUGCCAGAGAAGCCUCAAAGGCAGCUGCUGCCUAAGAUUUCUAGUGCUUUUGUGCAAAAUUCAAUCUGUUCCCUAGGAAGAGGGACAAGGGAGAGCAAGAUACAGAGCUUGAUUUUUUUAAAGGAAAAAUUAAGAAUAAAGAGAUGUUUUUGGGUGACAUAGAAAA